AGCAGCCGCGGUAAUUCCAGCUCCAAUAGCGUAUAUUAAAGUUGUUGCAAGUUAAAAGCUCGUAGUUGAAUUUCGGGGUUAGUAGGUUGGUCAUGCCUCUGGUAUGUACUGGUCUCACUGAUUCCUCCUUCCUGAUGAACCUUAAUGCCAUUAAUUUGGUGUUUUGGGGGAAUUUGGACUGUUACUUUGAAAAAAUUAGAGUGUUUAAAGCAAGCUAACGCUUGAAUACAUUAGCAUGGAAUAAUGAAAUAGGACGUUCGAUCCUAUUUUGUUGGUUUCUAGGAUUGACGUAAUGAUUAAUAGGGAUAGUUGGGGGCAUUAGUAUUCAAUUGUCAGAGGUGAAAUUCUUGGAUUUAUUGAAGACUAACUACUGCGAAAGCAUUUGCCAAGGAUGUUUUCAUUAAUCAAGAACGAAAGUUAGGGGAUCGAAGACAAUCAGAUACCGUCGUAGUCUUAACCAUAAACUAUGCCGACUAGGGAUCGGAUGAUGUUAAUUUUUAAUGACUCAUUCGGCGCCUUA
rnacentral:rRNA from 1 species